GCUCUCGUGGCUUAGUGGCAAAGCACCUCCUUGGUAAGGAGGAGAUCACGGGUUCAAAUCCCGUCGAGAGCU
rnacentral:tRNA from 4 species